rnacentral:rRNA from 1 species
GACGAACGCUGGCGGCGUGCUUAACACAUGCAAGUCGAACGGAAAGGCCCUGCUUUUGUGGGGUGCUCGAGUGGCGAACGGGUGAGUAACACGUGAGUAACCUGCCCUUGACUUUGGGAUAACUUCAGGAAACUGGGGCUAAUACCGGAUAGGAGCUCCUGCUGCAGGGUGGGGGUUGGAAAGUGUCGGCGGUUGGGGAUGGACUCGCGGCUUAUCAGCUUGUUGGUGGGGUAGUGGCUUACCAAGGCUUUGACGGGUAGCCGGCCUGAGAGGGUGACCGGCAACAUUGGGACUGCGAUGCGGCCGAGACUCCUACGGGAGGCAGCAGUGGGGAAUAUUGCACAAUGGGCGGAAGCCUGAUGCAGCAACGCCGCGUGCGGGAUGACGGCCUUCGGGUUGUAAACCGCUUUCGCCUGUGACGAAGCGUGAGUGACGGUAAUGGGUAAAGAAGCACCGGCUAACUACGUG